rnacentral:rRNA from 1 species
AUUGAACGCUGGCGGCAUGCCUUACACAUGCAAGUCGAACGGUAACAGGUCUUCGGAUGCUGACGAGUGGCGAACGGGUGAGUAAUACAUCGGAACGUGCCUAGUAGUGGGGGAUAACUACUCGAAAGAGUGGCUAAUACCGCAUGAGAUCUACGGAUGAAAGCAGGGGAUCGCAAGACCUUGUGCUACUAGAGCGGCCGAUGGCAGAUUAGGUAGUUGGUGGGAUAAAAGCUUACCAAGCCGACGAUCUGUAGCUGGUCUGCGAGGACGAUCAGCCACACUGGUGCUGAGACACGGCCCAGCCUCCUACGGGAGGCAGCAGUGGGGAAUUUUGGACAAUGGGCGCAAGCCUGAUUCAGCAAUGCCGCGUGCAGGAUGAAGGCCUUCGGGUUGUAAACUGCUUUUGUACGGAACGAAAAGCCCCGGGUUAAUACCCUGGGGUCAUGACGGUACCGUAAGAAUAAGCACCGGCUAACUACGUGCCAGCCGCCGCCGUAA